rnacentral:rRNA from 1 species
AGCAGCCGCGGUAAUUCCAGCUCCAAUAGCGUAUAUUAAAGUUGCUGCAGUUAAAAAGCUCGUAGUUGAAUUUCGGGACCAAUAUGUCGGUCGUGCCUCGGUACGUACUGGCGUCGUUGGUUUCUCCCUUCUGACGAACCAUGAUGUCAUUUAUUUGGUGUCAUGGGGAAUCAGGACUGUUACUUUGAAAAAAUUAGAGUGUUUAAAGCAGGCUCACGCUUGAAUACAUUAGCAUGGAAUAAUGAAAUAGGACGUUUGAUUCUAUUUUGUUGGUUUCUAGGAUCGACGUAAUGAUUAAUAGGGAUAGUUGGGGGCAUUAGUAUUCAAUUGUCAGAGGUGAAAUUCUUGGAUUUAUUGAAGACUAACUACUGCGAAAGCAUUUGCCAAGGAUGUUUUCAUUAAUCAAGAACGAAAGUUAGGGGAUCGAAGACGAUCAGAUACCGUCGUAGUCUUAACCAUAAACUAUGCCGACUAGGGAUCGGAUGAUGUUAAUUUUUUAAUGACCCA